rnacentral:rRNA from 1 species
AUUGAACGCUGGCGGCAGGCCUAACACAUGCAAGUCGAACGAGCGGCGGACGGGUGAGUAAUGUCUGGGAAACUGCCUGAUGGAGGGGGAUAACUACUGGAAACGGUAGCUAAUACCGCAUACCAUCAGAUGUGCCCAGAUGGGAUUAGCUAGUUGGUGGGGUAAGGGCUCACCAAGGCGAAGAUCCCUAGCUGGUCUGAGAGGAUGACCAGCCACAGUGGAACUGAGACACGGUCCAGACUCCUACGGGAGGCAGCAGUGGGGAAUAUUGCACAGUGGGCGCAAGCCUGAUGCAGCCAUGCCGCGUGUGUGAAGAAGGCCUUCGGGUUGUAAAGUACUUUCAGCGGGGAGGCGUUACUCGCAGAAGAAGCACCGGCUAACUCCGUGCCAGCAGCCGCGGUAAUUC